ACGUGGUUGACCUACCCCAAAGUAAGGGAUAACGGUCCGAAAGGACUGCUAAUACCUUAUAAGCUCCCGGUGUUUAGAAAACUGGGAGAAAAGUUCCGGCGCUUUGGGCGGGGACUGCGGACCAUCAGCUAGUUGGUGUGGUAACGGCACACCAAGGCGACGACGGAUAGGGGACCUGAGAGGGUGGCCCCCCGCACUGGAACUGAGACACGGUCCAGACUCCUACGGGAGGCAGCAGUGAGGAAUAUUGCACAAUGGGCGCAAGCCUGAUGCAGCGACGCCGCGUGGGUGAUGAAGGUUUUCGGAUCGUAAAGCCCUUUUCUAGAUGACGAGUAAGGACGGUAGUCUAGGAAUAAGUGUCGGCUAACUACGUGCCAGCAGCCGCGGUAAANCGUANGACACAAGCGUUAUCCGGAGUUACUGGGCGUAAAGGGCGUGUAGGCGGACCUGUAAGUCUAUUCUGAAGCNUCUGGCUAACUGGGAGAGCGAAUGGAAGACUGCAGAUCUAGAGUGAGGAAGAGGAAAGUGGAAUUCCGCGUGUAGUGGUGAAAUGCGUAGAGAUGCGGAGGAACACCAGUGGCGAAAGUGACUUUCUGGUCCUUAACUGACGCUGAGGCGCGAAAGCAUGGGGAGCGAACGGGAUUAGAAACCCCGGUAGUCCAUGCCAUAAACGAUGUUCACUAAACGUUCGUUUCCCGCGAGGGAAGCGGGUGUUGAAGCCAACGCAGUAAGUGAACCGCCUGGGGAGUACGGUCGCAAGGCUAAAACUCAAAGGAAUUGACGGGGGACCGCACAAGCAGCGGAGCGUGUGGUUUAAUUCGAGGCUACACGAAUAACCUU
rnacentral:rRNA from 1 species